rnacentral:rRNA from 1 species
CGGCAGGCUUAACACAUGCAAGUCGAGCGGGGGAAGGUAGCUUGCUACCGGACCUAGCGGCGGACGGGUGAGUAAUGCUUAGGAAUCUGCCUAUUAGUGGGGGACAACAUCUCGAAAGGGAUGCUAAUACCGCAUACGUCCUACGGGAGAAAGCAGGGGAUCUUCGGACCUUGCGCUAAUAGAUGAGCCUAAGUCGGAUUAGCUAGUUGGUGGGGUAAAGGCCUACCAAGGCGACGAUCUGUAGCGGGUCUGAGAGGAUGAUCCGCCACACUGGGACUGAGACACGGCCCAGACUCCUACGGGAGGCAGCAGUGGGGAAUAUUGGACAAUGGGGGGAACCCUGAUCCAGCCAUGCCGC